UCCAAAUGGAAGAUAUAUGAAGCUUAUCACAAUGCAAGAUUUGCAUCGCGGAUCACAUGAAGGAAGAUUGAUGACACAAGCUGAACUUUU